rnacentral:rRNA from 1 species
AUUGAACGCUGGCGGCAGGCCUAACACAUGCAAGUCGAACGAGUGGCGGACGGGUGAGUAAUGUAUGGGAAACUGCCCGAUGGAGGGGGAUAACUACUGGAAACGGUAGCUAAUACCGCAUACUAUCGGAUGUGCCCAUAUGGGAUUAGCUAGUAGGUGGGGUAACGGCUCACCUAGGCGACGAUCUCUAGCUGGUCUGAGAGGAUGACCAGCCACACUGGAACUGAGACACGGUCCAGACUCCUACGGGAGGCAGCAGGGGGGAAUAUUGCACAAUGGGCGCAAGCCUGAUGCAGCCAUGCCGCGUGUAUGAAGAAGGCCUUCGGGUUGUAAAGUACUUUCAGCGAGGAGGCGUUACUCGCAGAAGAAGCACCGGCUAACUCCGUGCCAGCAGCCGCGGUAAUAC